GACAGGGGUCUCGAGCGUUAAUCGGAAUCACUGGGCUUAAAGGGUGCGUAGGCCGCCUCGUAAGUGCUUUGUGAAAGCCCCCGGCUCAACCGGGGAACUGCAGGGCAUACUGCGGGGCUUGAGGAAACUAGAGGCCGGUAGAACGAUAGGUGGAGCGGUGGAAUGCGUAGAUAUCUAUCGGAAUGCCGAAAAGUGAAGACAGCCGGCUGGGGUUUUCCUGACGCUGAGGCACGAAAGCGUGGGGAGCAAACCGG
rnacentral:rRNA from 1 species